UGUCCUCGCAGGUCGCAGCUUCAUGGCCUGAUGCCUUCAGGAAGUAUUUUGAAGUCAUCGUGGCUGUGGAUUGGGGGAUUUCUUGUUUCCACUGACCUGUGAGGCCGCGCACGUGGAGGGAGGCACCCCGGGUCCUCCGGCACUGUCCGGCCUCGCCUGUGUCCCUAGUAGCAGUGGGCAUUUCCAGACGGUGCAGCUUGUGGCUAAAGUGACAGGAAGAUGUAGGAGCUUUCAGUCUUGGAUGAGGAUUCGAACUGAAGGGCUUAGGCCCAGCUGUCUUGGAGCAAAACAUCUGUUGUGGGGUGAGAAGGGAAAGGAGGGGUGAGGGUGCAGGGGCCCUCCUAGGAGGACAUCGGACCUGUUGGGCCGAGACCUCAUUAGAGAUCUAGAGCACGGAUGGGAGGAGCAGAGGCUCGAUUUGUGUCCUGUUCAGACUCCCACAGGCUGGGUGAUGGUGGGAGAUUUGUGCCCAUUCAGAUGUGGCGGCAGAGGAGGGCAAGGCCGAAGGAGCAGACAGCACCGCUUCUUGGGGAGUUGUGAAGGCAUCAUGCGGAGGGCCGAGCUUAGCAGCCAAGUGGAGGACAGCACCCUCCAUGCCUGGAUUCGUUACUCGCUCGUUCUCGAUGUUGAGCUGCUGGCAUAUUGCAGCACAACUAGAGAUGUACGGAUGCCCCCAUCUUGAUCUUACAGAAUCAGAGGUGCAGCCGCAAGAAAGCUACACCCUCUCGGUUUUCUCUGCUCUGCCAACACUAGUGGAAUAUGAUCACAUCCCAGGGAUCAGUGUCAUUUAGGGAUGUGACUAUGGGCUUCACUCAAGAGGAGUGGCAUCAUCUGGACCCUGCUCAGAGGACCCUGUAGAGGAAUGUGAUGCUGGAGAACUACAGCCACCUUGUCUCAGUAGGGUAUUGCAUUCCUAAACCAGAAGUGAUCCUCAAAUUGGAGACAGGCAAGGAGCCAUGGAUAUUAGAGGAAAAAUUUCGAAGCCAGAGUCAUCUGGAAUUAAUUAAUACCAGUAGAAACUAUUCAAGAAUGAAGUUCAAUGAGUUUAACAAAGGUGGAAAAUGUUUCUGUGAUGAAAGCAUGAAAUAAUUCAUUUUGAAGAGGAACCUUCUGAAUAUAAUAACAAUGGGAACAGCUUCUGGCUGAAUGAAGACCUCAUUUGGCAUCAGAAGAUUAAAAAUUGGG
rnacentral:lncRNA from 1 species